UACGUAGGGUGCAAGCGUUAAUCGGAAUUACUGGGCGUAAAGCGUGCGCAGGCGGUUUUGUAAGUCUGUCGUGAAAUCCCCGGGCUUAACCUGGGAAUUGCGAUGGAGACUGCAAGGCUGGAGUCUGGCAGAGGGGGGUAGAAUUCCACGUGUAGCAGUGAAAUGCGUAGAGAUGUGGGGGAACACCGAUGGCGAAGGCAGCCCCCUGGGUCAAGACUGACGCUCAUGCACGAAAGCGUGGGGAGCAAACAGG
rnacentral:rRNA from 1 species